rnacentral:rRNA from 1 species
ACGUAGGUGGCGAGCGUUGUCCGGAUUUACUGGGCGUAAAGAGCGCGCAGGCGGUCGUGCAAGUCGAAUGUGAAAGCCCCCGGCUCAACUGGGGAGGGUCAUUCGAUACUGCUCGACUAGAAGGCAGGAGAGGGAAGUGGAAUUCCCGGUGUAGUGGUGAAAUGCGUAGAUAUCGGGAGGAACACCAGUGGCGAAGGCGACUUCCUGGCCUGUUCUUGACGCUGAGGCGCGAAAGCUAGGGGAGCAAACGGGAUUAGAUACCCCGGUAGUCCUAGCCGUAAACGAUGGACACUAGGUGUUGGCGGUAUCAACCCCGCCAGUGCCGAAGCUAACGCAUUAAGUGUCCCGCCUGGGGAGUACGGCCGCAAGGCUA